rnacentral:lncRNA from 1 species
AGCGAGCUCCCUCCCACGCCGCGGCUGCUACUCCGAGGGCGGCGCGGAGCCCGGCCUUGGCCUUGGCCUCCGGGCGCCGGGGCUGCUGCCGCCGCGGGGCUUGCUGCUGCGCCUGCCGCUGCCGGGCCCGAGGCUGCCGCCGCCGCCGCUCGGGGACGCCAGGCUCCGGUGCCUUCGGUGCCUUCGCUCCCGCUCCCACGUUCACAACCCCGAGGGCCGGGGAGAGGCGUCCGCGCGAGGUCGGAAUUGGGAUUAAUAACAAGGCUCGAGCGGCCGGCGGAGCUGGGGGGACUGGCGGGGCGUCACACGUCCACGUCCACAGAGCCAUGCUGCGGAGGAGGCCGGCGAACCCUCCUCGCCCGGUGUUCCUGCCGGACGCGGCGCCGUUUGCCGCUCGCAGGCCUGAGGCGGCCUGAGCGGGAAGCGCUGCUCGGGAGCUAACGAGACGUCAGGUCAGUAGAGGGCAGCCCGAGUGGUUCAGUGGUUUAGCACCGCCUUCAGUCCAGGGCGAGAUCCUGGAGACCUGGAUUGAGUCCCAAGUCAUCGGGCUCCCUGCAUGGAGCCUGCUUCUCCCUCUGCCUCUCUCUCUCUCUCUCUCUCUCUCUCUGUGUCGCUCAUGAAUAAAUAAAUAAAAUCUUUUUUUUAAAUAAAUAAA